rnacentral:rRNA from 1 species
GGAAGGGUGAGGAAUACAUGGGUAAUCUAUCUUCAAGUUGGGUAUAACUUCUCGAAAGGGGAGAUAAUCCCGAAUGUGGUGAUCCGGCGCAUGUCGGAGAAUCUAAAGGUGGGGACCGCAAGGCCUGCCGCUUGAAGCUGAGCCCGUGCACUAUCAGCUUGUUGGUGGGGUAACGGCCCACCAAGGCUUUGACGGUUAGCUGGUCUGAGAGGAUGGUCAGCCACACUGGGACUGAGAUACUGCCCAGACUCCUACGGGAGGCUGCAGUCGAGAAUCAUUCCCAAUGGGCGAAAGCCUGACGGUGCGACGUCGCGUGGAGGAUGAAGGUCUUCGGAUUGUAAACUCCUGUCAUGAGGGGAUAAAUGGCCAGGGCACCAAUACUGCCCUGGAGUGAUAGUACCCUCCCGGAGGGAAGAGACGGCUAACUCUGUGCCAGCAGCCCCGGUAAUUACAGAAGGUCCUCGAGCGGUUGUUCGGGAUUUACUGGGCGUAAAGGGGAGCGUAACGCGGUUCCGUGUGUUUGAAUGUGAAAGCCCCACACUCCACUGUGGGAAUGCCAUUCAAAACUACCGGGUCUAGAGUACUGGAGGAGGGAGAGCGGAUUCUUGGUGGUAGCGGUGAAAUGCGUAGAUAUCAGAGGAACACCUGGUGGGCGACGCGGCUCUCUGGACAGAUACUGACGCUGAGCUCUAACGCUAGGGGAGCCAACNNAUUAGAUACCCUGGUAGUC